rnacentral:miRNA from 1 species
CAUUCAACUAGUGAUUGU